UACGGGGGGGGCAAGCGUUGUUCGGAAUUACUGGGCGUAAAGGGCUCGUAGGCGGCCAACUAAGUCAGACGUGAAAUCCCUCGGCUUAACCGGGGAACUGCGUCUGAUACUGGAUGGCUUGAGGUUGGGAGAGGGAUGCGGAAUUCCAGGUGUAGCGGUGAAAUGCGUAGAUAUCUGGAGGAAGACCGGUGGCGAAGGCGGUCCGCUGGGCAGUUUCUGACACUGAUGCGCGACAGCGUGGGGAGCAAACAGG
rnacentral:rRNA from 1 species